CUACGGGCGGCAGCAGUGGGGAAUAUUGGACAAUGGGCGAAAGCCUGAUCCAGCCAUGCCGCGUGUGUGAAGAAGGCCUUCGGGUUGUAAAGCACUUUCAGUGGGGAAGAAAGCCUUGGGGCUAAUACCCUCGAGGAAGGACAUCACCCACAGAAGAAGCACCGGCUAACUCCGUGCCAGCAGCCGCGGUAAUACGGAGGGGGCGAGCGUUAAUCGGAAUUACUGGGCGUAAAGCGCGCGUAGGCGGUCUGAUAAGCCGGUUGUGAAAGCCCCGGGCUCAACCUGGGAACGGCAUCCGGAACUGUCAGGCUAGAGUGCAGGAGAGGAAGGUAGAAUUCCCGGUGUAGCGGUGAAAUGCGUAGAGAUCGGGAGGAAUACCAGUGGCGAAGGCGGCCUUCUGGACUGACACUGACGCUGAGGUGCGAAAGCGUGGGUAGCAAACAGGAUUAGAUACCCCUGUAGUC
rnacentral:rRNA from 1 species